UCUGUCAAGAUGCCACACAAAACUCGGGUCUGAGGCAUGUUUGAUGAGGCAGAAGAGAAAAUGGAAAUAACCCGGACCUUCAAUAUGGAAUUUGGGGAAGAUGAAGAAAAUGAUGUGACAUCCAAGAGUUGCAGAUAACAAGUUAACAAGACAGGAAAGAUGAUAAAGAAAACCUGCACUAUCUCAGCCUAUCACAGCUGGACCACGGUUAAAGGAUUUUGGAUUUGCCUGUAACAAAUAUUCAACUGAUUUUGCAUUCUGAAAAACAAGGCCAGAGCUUGAAAGGAAAAAACUUCAAAGAAUGUACUUAAUUGAUAGACGUUUCUACAUGCUAUGAUCAAAAAUCACUCUCGAGUUACCACUUGAAUUAUAAUAAUAUGGAAACAAUAUGGAAAUGUUACUUCUAAAUUUCUUUUAUUUCUUGUUUGUUAAAAACGUGUCUGUUCCCCAUCUGAACUUAACACGACCACUGAAUAUUACCUUUAGAUAGGGGGAAAAAGCAAA